UGAAUUAAGGUAGCACAAUACAAAGAUUUCAUACCUCCAAUUCCCCAGUUUUAAAAUGCUGUAACUUUCUUCAUAAUGCUUGAAAAUUUAUAAAAGGGUAUCUAUGGAUAGUUAGCAGAUUACUCUUACAUAGUAAUGCAAUGUUAGUAUUAUACAACAAUUAUGUAAUUAAUUAUAAUGAUAACUGUGUCUACAAAAUUUUACAAGAAAUUUCCACUUUCAAUUGAAAUUAGCUUCUUCAUGGAUCCCCGAGAAGGUUGGUUUCAUUAUAUGUUGUUCAUUGAGCCAUUAUCUACAAAAGGGUGUCGCAGAUUUGGAUAGAAUGUAUAGAUCAAAUUUUACACCUAAUUAUACAUUAUCUACGUUUAUGUGGUAGGGAUGUUUACACUAAUUACAAAUUUAUGAAAGAAUGGAAUACGAUAGCGAUAAUUUGAGACACCCUUUUGUAGCUCCUGCUGUGUUGAUUAAGAUAACGUCAACAUUUCUUGUGUAGCUAUAGAGAUGAAAGAGCUAAAUUCAUUCAAGUACACUGACCAUGAUUUUGCCAUAAAUUGCAUAAUAAUUGAUUACAU
rnacentral:lncRNA from 1 species